GGCUGGCAAGCCGAACGGUGACAGAGAGAAGUGCCCUGGAGUUUUUGUACGAUGGACAAGAGGGGCAGUUGGAUGUCAAAAGUGGCGUUCCAGUGCAUUCUGCGCAGCGGGCGGAACGAAGCAGCAGUGCCGUAUGUGUACAUUCGGGAAGGGACGUCGUCGAAUGGCUGGCUUCAGAGAGCAACAA
rnacentral:SRP_RNA from 1 species